CACAUAGUAUGUUUAGGCAUCAAGGUUGCUGAAGUACAGGAAAGCCCUUGGGACAUGCUUUUUAGGUCCGAAGUCAGUGGGAGUAUGUGAGUCUGUUAUAGUGACAAGGUUCCCUCUGAGGUGACAGGUCUGACUACUCUUUUCUCUCCCAAGCCUCUCUACUGAGGCUGAUACAGCCCCGGUGCUUUUGGAAAGGGUGUUUCUGGGUUUAACUCAUGAAGGAUGAGCAAGACAAAACCAAAACAUCUAUUUGUUCUAUA